rfam:Brachypodium distachyon strain Bd21 chromosome 4, whole genome shotgun sequence.
UUAUUACUCCCUUUAUUCCAUAAUUCUUGUCGAAAUAUUAGAUGUAUCUAGACACUUUUUUAUGAAUAGAUUCAUCCAUUUUUAGCAAAUUUGAGACAAGAAUUAUGGAACGGAGGGAGUACUGA